AACGCGAAGAACCUUACCUGGGCUCGAAAUGCAGAGCGCGACACUAGAGAUAGUGUUUUCCGUAAGGAGUUUUGUAUAGGUGCUGCAUGGCUGUCGUCAGCUCGUGCCGUGAGGUGUUUGGUUAAGUCCAGCAACGAGCGCAACCCUUAUCGUUAGUUGCCAGCGCGUAAAGGCGGGAACUCUAGCGAGACUGCCUAGGUUAACUAGGAGGAAGGUGAGGAUGACGUCAAGUCCGCAUGGCCUUUAUGUCCAGGGCUACACACGUGCUACAAUGGUCGGUACAGAAGGCAGCGAAACCGUGAGGUGAAGCAAAUCCCGAAAAGCCGAUCUCAGUUCAGAUUGUAGACUGCAACUCGUCUACAUGAAGUUGGAAUUGCUAGUAAUGGCGUGUCAGCAACAACGCCGUGAAUACGUUCCCGGGCCUUGUACACACCGCAUAC
rnacentral:rRNA from 1 species